rnacentral:rRNA from 1 species
CACGUAGGGUGCAAGCGUUGUCCGGAAUUAUUGGGCGUAAAGGGCUCGUAGGCGGUCCGUCGCGUCGGGAGUGAAAACUCGGGGCUCAACCCCGAGCCUGCUUUCGAUACGGGCAGGCUAGAGUUCGGUAGGGGAGAUCGGAAUUCCUGGUGUAGCGGUGAAAUGCGCAGAUAUCAGGAGGAACACCGGUGGCGAAGGCGGAUCUCUGGGCCGAUACUGACGCUGAGGAGCGAAAGCGUGGGGAGCGAACAGG